AUGGCACCAUUCAACGAUUCUAGGAUAGAAGGAUUCAGUGAAUCUAUUAGAUUGGUUACUCCAUCUGUCAUGAUCCAUGCAUAUCCUUUGUUCAUCAUCCCUACUUCUCUUGCCUUUAUGAAGAAGAGGGAGGCCAAGGGAACACGGGCAUCAACUUCUUGUAGCACAUCAACAAGGAAUUUAUGUCUCACUCCUUGCAGCUGAAAGCUGGAACAUGCAACCGCGUGCUCAUUUACACAGCAACAAAACUGGCGCCUGUGGUCCUGAUGCAACACCCCUGGUGAACAGAAUCCAAUAAUUCUUGGACGUUAUCUUUGGAAUAGUUUGAUGUGAUGUGGAAAUCCAAUUGCUCUUAAUAGUAAUGUUAUGCGAUGCGCAGUUGCUUCCUAAUUGUACUUGUUGGUAUGAUU